AUUGAACGCUGGCGGCAUGCUUUACACAUGCAAGUCGAACGGCAGCACGGGUGCUUGCACCUGGUGGCGAGUGGCGGACGGGUGAGUAAUGCAUCGGAACGUGUCCUGAAGUGGGGGGAUAACGCAUCGAAAGAUGUGCUAAUACCGCAUAUUCUCUGAGGAGGAAAGUAGGGGAUCGAAAGACCUUAUGCUUUUGGAGCGGCCGAUGUCUGAUUAGCUAGUUGGUAGGGUAAUGGCUUACCAAGGCGACGAUCAGUAGUUGGUCUGAGAGGACGACCAGCCACACUGGGACUGAGACACGGCCCAGACUCCUACGGGAGGCAGCAGUGGGGAAUUUUGGGACAAUGGGCGCAAGCCUGAUCCAGCAAUGCCGCGUGAGUGAAGAAGGCCUGG
rnacentral:rRNA from 1 species